AGCGGCGAACGGGUGCUUAACACGUGGGCAAUCUGUCUUGAAGUGGGGGAUAGCUCGGCGAAAGCCGAAUUAAUACCGCAUGUGAUUAGAGUGGACAUCCAUUCAAAAUCAAAGUCGGGGCAACCUGACGCUUUUUGAGGAGCCCGCGGCCUAUCAGCUUGUUGGUGAGGUAACGGCUCACCAAGGCUUUGACGGGUAGCUGGUCUGAGAGGACGACCAGCCACACUGGGACUGAGACACGGCCCAGACACCUACGGGUGGCAGCAGUCGAGAAUUUUUCUCAAUGGGGGAAACCCUGAAGGAGCGACGCCGCGUGGAGGAUGAAGGUCUUCGGAUUGUAAACUCCUGUCAUUGGGGAACAAGUCGCUUACGUUAACUGCGUGAGCGUUGAUAGUACCCGAAGAGGAAGAGACGGCUAACUCUGUGCCAGCAGCCGCGGUAAUACAGAGGUCUCAAGCGUUGUUCGGAUUCAUUGGGCGUAAAGGGUGCGUAGGCGGCGCGGUAAGUCGGGUGUGAAAUUUCGGGGCUUAACUCCGAAACUGCAUUCGA
rnacentral:rRNA from 1 species